rnacentral:rRNA from 1 species
AUUGAACGCUGGCGGCAGGCCUAACACAUGCAAGUCGAACGAGUGGCGGACGGGUGAGUAAUGUCUGGGAAACUGCCUGAUGGAGGGGGAUAACUACUGGAAACGGUAGCUACUACCGACUACCAUCAGAUGUGCCCAGAUGGAAUUAGCUAGUUGGUGGGGUAACGGCGCACCAAGGCGACAAUCCCUAGCUGGUCUGAGAGGAUGACCAUCCACACUGGAACGGAGACACGGUCCAGACUCCUACGGGAGGCAGCAGUGGGGAAUAUGGCACAAUGGGCGAAAGCCUGAUGCAGCCAUGCCGCGUGUAUGAAGAAGGCCUUCGGGUUGUAAAGUACUUUCAGCGGGGAGGCGUUACCAGCAGAAUAAGCACCGGCUAACUCCGUGCCAGCAGACGCGGUAAUAC